GCCGAACGCUGGCGGCGUGCCUAAUACAUGCAAGUCGAACGCAGUGGGGACGGGUGAGUAACCCGUGGGUAACCUCCCAUCAGAGGGGAUAACACUUGGACACAGGUGCUAACCCGCUACUGAUGGAUGGACCCGCGUUGCAUUAGCUAGUUGGGGAGGUAACGGCUCACCCAGGCCACGAUGCAUAGCCGACCGGAGAGGGUGAUCGGCCACACUGGGACUGAGACACGGCCCAGACGCCGACGGGAGGCAGCAGUAGGGAAGCUUCGGCAAUGGACGAAAGUCUGACCGAGAAACGCCGCGUGAGUGAAGAAGGUUUUCGGAUCGGAAAACUCUGUUGUUAGAGAAGCGGUAUCUAACCAGAAAGCCACGGCUAACUACGUGCCAGCAGCCGCGGUAAUUC
rnacentral:rRNA from 1 species